ACAUUGCUCAGAAGGGCCCACGGUGACAGAGCACCCCAGUUCUUGCACGUUUAACCCUGUUUUCGGGGCCCGGUACACAGGUUCUCUUACUCAACUUUUGCAGAUGGUGCUCCAUUGUUUUGUGCGUGGUUGUUUUUAGAAGCUAGAUGUCUGUCUGAUUCCUCGAGGCCUUGAGGGUGUUGCCCUUCAGCUUUGAAGCCUGAGGUUUUGCUGGCACACACCUCGGGGGCCGUUGUUCCCAUCAGUUCCCUGUCAGGCCAGCGCUCUCCGCAUGUGGGUGGAGGGACUCCUUUCCUCACCUGGGAAGUCUCCCUAGAUGACAGUUUUACAUGUAUACCCCAUCCCAUUCCUCGGGUUCUGGUUGCUCGAGAUGUCUUUCAUCUGCCUUUCAUCCCACUUUAUUCCAUUUUCAUUCUUAACCCUUUUACUUCUUUUUACACCAUUUCCAUUUCUUUUGGUUGUUUUCUUGCCUUUCUUCAAUGCUCUUAAUUACAUUUUUUAAAAACAUCUUUAUUGGAGUAUAAUUGCUUUACAAUGUUGUGUUAGUCUCUGCUGUAUCACAAAGUGAAUCAGCUAUACAUAUACAUAUACAUCCCCAUAUCCCCUCCCUCUUGAGCCUCCCUCCCACCCUCCCGAUCCCACCCCUCUAGGUGGACACAAAGCACCGAGCGGAUCUCCCUGUGCUAUGCGGCUGCUUCCCACUAGCUAUCUAUUUUACAUUUGGUGGUGUAUAUAUGUCCAUGCCACUCUCUCACUUUGUCCCAGCUUACCCUUCCCCCAUCCUGUGUCCUCAAGUUCAUUCUCUAAGUCUGCGUCUUUAUUCCUGUCCUGCCCCUAGGUUCUUCAGAACCAUUUUUUGUUUUUUCUAGAUUACAUAUAUAUGUGUUAGCGUACGGUAUUUGUUUUUCUCUUUCUGAUUUUACUCUGUAUGACAGACUCUAGGUCCACCCACCUCACUACAAAUAACUGAAUUUUAUUUCUUUUUAUGGCUGAGUAAUAUUCCAUUGUAUAUAUGUGCCACAUCUUCUUUAUCCAUUCAUCUGUCGAUGGACACUUCGGUUGCUUCCAUGUCCUGGCUAUUGUAAACAGUGCUGCAGUGAACAUUGUGGUACCUGACUCUUCCUGAAUUAUGGUUUUCUCAGGGUAUAUGCCCAGUACUGGGAUUGCUGGGUCGUAUGGUAGUUCUAUUUUUUAGUUUUUUAAGGAAGCUCCAUACUGUUCUCUAUAGUGGCUGUAUCAAUUUACAUUCCCACCCAUUGCAAGAGGGUUCCCUUUUCUCCACACCAUCUCCAGCAUUUAUUGUUUGUAGAUUUUUUGAUGAUGGCCAUUCUGACCAUUGUGAGGUGAUACCUCAGUGUAGUUUUGAUUUGCAUUUCUCUAAUGAUUAGUGAUGAUGGGCACCCUUUCACGUGUUUGUUGGCAGUCUGUGUAUCUUCUUUGCAGAAUGUCUAUUUAGGUCAUCUGCCCAUUUUUGGAUUGGGUUGUUUGUUUUUUUAAUAUUGAGCUGCAUGAGCUGUUUAUAUAUUUUGGAGAUUAAUCCUUUGUCCAUUGGUUCAUUUGCAAAUAUUUUCUCCCAUUCUGAGGGUUGUCUUUUCAUCUUGUUUAUGGUUCCCUUUGCUGUGCAAAAGCUUUCAAGUUUCAUUAGAUCCCAUUUGUUUGUUUUUAUGUCCAUUUCUCUAGGAGGUGGGUCAAAAAGGAUCUUGCUGUGAUUUAUGUUAUAGAGUGUUCUGCCUAUGUUUUCCUCUAAGAGCUUUAUAGUGUCUGGCCUUACAUUUAGGUCUUUAGUCUAUUUUGAGUUUAUUUUUGUGUAUGGUGUUAGGGAGUGUUGUAAUUUCAUUCUUUUACAUGUAGCUGUACAGUUUUCCCAGCACCACUUAUUGAAGAGGCUGUCUUUUCUCCGUUGUAUAUUCUUGCCUCCUUUAUCAAAGAUAAGGUAACCAUAUGUGCAUAGGUUUAUCUCUGGGCUUUCUAUCCUGUUCCACUGAUCUAUAUUUCUGGUUUUGUGCCAGUACCAUACUGUCUUGAUUACUGUAGCUUUGUAGUAUAGUCUGAAGUCAGGAAGCCUGAUUCCUCCAGCUCUGUUUUUCUUGCUCAAGAUUGCCUUGGCUGUUCAGGGUCUUUUGUGUUUCCAUACAAAUUGUGCAACUUUUUGUUCUAGUUCUGUGAAAAAUGCCAUUGGUAGUUUGAUACAGAUUGCAUUGAAUCGGUAGAUUGCUUUGGAUAGUAUAGUAAUUUUCAGAAUGUUGCUUCUUCCAAUCCAAGAACAUGGUAUAUCUCUCCAUCUAUUUGUAUCAUCUUUAAUUUCUUUCAUCAGUGCCUUAUAGGUUUCUGCAUACAGGUCUUUUGUCUCCUUAGGUAGGUUUAUUCCUAGGUAUUUUAUUCUUUUUGUUGCAAUGGUAAAUGGGAGUGUUUCCUUAAUUUCUCUUUCAGAUUUUUCAUCAUUAGUGUAUAGGAAUGCAAGAGAUUUCUGUGCAUUAAUUUUGUAUCCUGCUACUUUACCAAAUUCAUGGAUUAGCUCUAGUAGUUUUCUGGUAGCAUCUUUAUGAUUCUCUAUAUAUAGUAUCAUGUCAUCUGCAAACAGUGACAGUUUUACUUCUUCUUUUCUGAUUUUGAUUCCUUUUAUUUCUUUUUCUUCUCUGAUUGCUGUGGCUAAAAUUUCCAAAACUAUGUUGAAUAAGAGUGGUGAGAGUGGGCAACCUUGUCUUGCUCCUGAUCUUAGUGGAAAUGGUUUCAGUUUUUCACCAUGGAGAAUGAUGUUGGUUGUGGGUUUGUCAUAUAUGGCCUUUAUUAUGUUGAGGUAAAUUCCCUCUAUGUUAAUUGCAUUUUUAUUUGAGUCUGUUCUUCCUUGUUCACCUUGUAAUUUAUCCUACUUUCUGAGGGAGACUCAUGUAGACAGCAAGCAAUCAACGGAAUUGCAGGCGAGAUACAGUCAUUUUCAGUAACACAUAGGUAUGAAGUUCACUCCAAGACACUCUUUCUGAGGAAAGAAAUUUACUUGAGCAAAUAUUCCAAUAAAUUGAGGGUUGGGAAAAAAGGGAAGCCUUGAGAUCCAGAACGUGAUUAAUCCAACCCAAGCUGUAAUGAAGGGAAUCCCCAGACUUCAGCUGUGCAUCAGGUUUAGAAAACACUAGGUCCAGAUUCCUGCAUGUGGAUGGAGGGUUCUGGAGAAAUCUCCAGGAAGAAAGGGGCUCCAGGCAGUAAACAGUGAUAUUGAAAAAUAGAACAUCUUCAAGAUAUGAUGAAAGUUUUUUAAUUAAUAAAAAAUAAAAAGAAAAUUAGAGAGUUUAAGAAAAUGAAGCAAAGCAUUUAUGGUCCUGGUAUGAAAGAAGUUAAAAUGAGUUUAAGCACCAUGAUUGUUAGCGAUUUAUGUAAUGUGAGAGUGUGUAUUUGAUUAAGCUUGAUUCUAGGAAUAUUUUGCUUCUGAUGCCUAAAUAGUUGUCCUGUGGGGUCUUGGAGAAGGAGUGUUACUUGACUGAAUGAUUAAUGAUAUUUACACAAGUAUCAUAAGGUAAGUGCUGGUUAUGAUUUUGAAUUUUUCCUUAUCAUCCAUAAACUAAGGAUAGAAAAUUUGGUUAUAGUUAUAGAAACCACAUAACUGUUGACACCUUGACCAUUUAAAAUUUGGCUAAGAGAUGUGAGAGGUGAAAGUGGGAGGCUUGGUUGUGAUGGUGGGAUGGCCCGUAUCCUCGCUGUAGACAGGUGUACACGCUGUGGACCACACAAAACGAAUCACAGUAUAAUUGUGAAGCCCCGGGACCGAGAGGUCUGCAGAGAGUUCUGUGUUCUAACUGAGGUACAUUCUGUUCUUUUGCAGUAGAGAGCCAGGAGGCACAGUUGGUUAUAAACACGGAAUCAGCCUUGCUGUUGAGAGACGUUGUCUUUGAGGUGGGCUUGUGAGUGGGGAGAGCUGAGAUGAACAGGUGUUGAUUUUGAGCACAAAGUCUGAACCGCACACAUCAUCACCAUGAACAUCCCAUUAAUGUGAUGAUUUUUUGUGCUAAAGGGAUGCUGGCGAACGUUUAACAUGAUUCUGAGAGCAAGAAAGAAGUUCAAUAUUUGGGGCACUUUGAUUAAUAUGAAACACUGACAGAAAGAACUGACUACAAUACUUUUAUUUUGAAUUAUUACUUCCUGUCAAUAUGAAGUGGAAUAUUAUUGUUGGGUCAGUUGCUGUCCUUGGUCCAGUUAACUGUGGACAAAUGACAUGGCAGUUCUGGCUGUUACCCCGUGGGUAGGGGCAAGCUCCAAUCCUAGAAAUUAUAUAGUCUAAAGAGUAGUUUUGUACUUUUUAAUUUGUGUAUGAGAUUAUAUCACAGAAAUGUUAUUCACUAUGUGUAUUGCAGAAGAAAACUGAUUGAGAACUAUUGCUGUAUAUAUUUAGGAUUUAUUCAAUAUGGGGCCAAUGUAUGUGAAUAAACCAGUGAAAAGAGAGGCCUUAAUUGAAAUUGCAAGGUCCUAGAAGGAAGCUAAGAAUACCUGAGCUUGGGAAAAAAGGAGGAGGAACAGGAAGAGAACAAGUUGUAGGAAAAUCUCUCCUUUUGGUUUUAGGAAUGAUUUAAAGGAUCAGCAUUUCAGCUUGUAGAAGACAGGAGAGCUAUCCUUAAGUCUGUAGAGUUAUCAUGUAGGAAGAGUCCACUUGUUUCCUGGCUUCCAUGUUGCUGAACUAGGUCCCAGGGUUGGAAGUUUCUGAAAGAUUUAUUUUUAGCUCAGUGUAACAAAGAGCUUCCAAACUACCAAAGAAAUUGAUCAUUUCCACCAAUUAAAGCAGCUUAAAAAGAAUGCGUUCUGUUCAAAAGAACUUUCCUCCUACUCUAGGCAGACAGGCAUCACAGGUUACAGUGGCCAUGGGUGGGGCGAGUGGUUCUACCAGUAACUCACAAGUUGCUUUACAACCCCAUGACCAUAGGAGUCCGGUCCCCGGACUGUUCCAUUUCAAAUACCUUAUUAUGAAAAAGUUUAAGCAUACAUUCAAUACAUAGUAGAUCUCCAUGCACCCAUCACCCAACGUCAACAGUUACCAACUCAAUUCUCGUUUCAGCUCCCCGCCCCCAACACAUGCUCUAUUUAUUUUGAGGAAACUCUGGCACGGUAUACUUCUAGCUGUAAAUAUUUCAGUAUAUAGUAAUAUCCUCAAAAGAUAAGGACUCUUGGCCAUAUAUAUUGAACCAUCCUUUACUGAGGUGUAACUUACACACCCCUGGCCGUAGUCUUGAUAGGUAAGACAAAUCCCUCCGUCUCUUGCCAUGUUUUUCUUCUACCACCUUAGUCCAACCACCAUUAUCUCUCUCCUGGACCACUUUCACGUGACCUCCUCUUGUCCACCCGGCAGCCAGACUCUUUCUGAAACAUCAGGCAGACUGUGUCAUUCUUCUACUCCCUGUGGUGGCCAUCCCGCUGCCUAGAAUAAGAUAAGAGCUUCCCACUGUGGCCUCUCAGACCUGCCCGGGGCCCGCCUCCACCCACUCUCCUCCUGGCCCAAUAAGUUCCACCCGCGUAGGUGUAGUUUAACAUCUCCCAGUCAUUUCUGUUUCACACCAAGCCGUCUGCGUUAGAACUUCUGCCCUUGCUCUUCUUCCCGACUAGAAUGAUUUUCCAGAAAUUUUCUCAUGAACGGCUUCCUGCCUUUCAGAUCUCAGUUCCUUAAUCAUGUCUUCAGAGAGACCUCUGACCACCUGAUCUGAACAGUCUUCUCUCUUGUUCUCUGUCCUAUCGCCCCGUUUCAGUCUCCAUAGCACACGGUUCUCUAGAAGCAGUCUGUCUAUGCACGUGUCCACCCUCUUACUGGCUGCUCCUCUGCACAGAAUACAAGCCACGCUAGAAGGGGGUUGCAUGCCUGUCUUGUUUAAUACCAGGGAGAAAGGUGUUAGGGCAGCUUGACUGUGAUCUGUUUCCCUCUAGUUACUGGGAACACACAGGGGCCACUCGGGAGAGAGAAGGCAGGUAGGCUGGACUGUCUCUGUCACCAAGGCAAUACCCCAUCUCCUGGUACGUAGACUCAUGGUAUUUGCUGGGAAGAGAGUCUUAAUCUAUGUGAUGCUUUUAGCAGGAUGUCUCUGGGUUAGGAUUGCGUGUGGUAAGUAAAUCUGUGAUCUGUGGAUCUGUGAGCCAUGGCUCCCCCAGAAACGUCUACAAGCUGCACAAGUACCUGAGGUAUGAAGUGGAGAUAUUCCAUAGCCUGAAGGUUCCCCGCUGUGUGAACUGACCCUGUGCUUGGCCCAGAGGCCUGGGAGGAGAGGAGGCUCCGAACUUGAGUCUGCUUUUUCAUGCCUCCUGAUGGCUUCAUCCUUGAAACUGCCAGUGAAACCUGAUCCAGGGUAAGAGCUCUGAUUCGUGAGUCCAGUUUGAGUAUCUGAUCAAUUUGUUGGCCCCACUGUCUGAUGCCCAGAGCCUACAGCACUGCUUGGCUCGAAGAGCAAACUAAAUCCUUGCCUGUGAAUGGGCGCGAUCCAGUGUCUUGGGGACGGUCGACUGGAAUUAAAAGAGCCAUCUUUUUUGUAGCAGUUUUCUUCACUUUUAAGCAAUCCAUGUUACUUGUUUUAUUAGUUCCAUACUUUAUAUGGGAUACUCAGAUAUAAAGAAAUAUAUCCAGAUUAAUAGUGACAGUGGCUAGAAUCAAGGUUCAUAAAAAUAACUGACGUACUUUGGAAAAUGCUCCCUUGCAAGCGUGUGAUGACUAUGUGUGGGUGUCACAGUGACCAUGUGGGACUGAUGAGGACUACGUAGGGCCUGGCUGUGCUGGCGUCCCACAGAACACACGGUAGGUGCGGUCCUGCUGUAAGGCGUAUCAUUGCAUUUUUAAAAGCUUCUCCACAAGGGAAUCUUGAAAGAAAAAAGUCCUCAAGUUAGAAACCACAGAAGCUUUCGCUCUCAUUCGAACUAUCAGCACAGAACUUCAUUUUUGCUCUUUUGAGUCUGUUUUUGUUACUGGCACAGAAGGAUACUUUAAUAUUUUCCAGAGAUGAAGACUUGCAGGCACACUGGCAGCUUCUGAGUUUGCUUCUGUAAAGUGAUCCCUCAGUCUUGUGUGUGGUUGUUGGUCCUGAUUCCUUUAGAUGGAAGUAUUUGGGAAAGGUAUUGGGUUAAAUGGAGACACAAAUCUGAAAUAAUGUUGCUAUUUUCUGCUGGAAGCAACUAUUCCAACAUGGAUGUAUUGGGCAUGAAAACUAAACAAUAAUUGUUUUUAUUUAUCAUUAACAAUUCAUACAAAUCUAUAUGGAAAACUGCAUUCUCUGAACUUCAUCUUUGGCCUCCUCCAUUGCCCUUUCCUAACUUGCCAAGUUUUGUAUUAUCCUGACUUCAAAAAAGAUGGAAAUUUCCCAAGUAUGGGUGGUCUUGUUUCAGGCAGAUAGCACAUUGUUAAAUUAUUACACCACGUUUUAACCAGAGCACAGUUGUUUUAAGCUAUAUUAAGUACAUCUGGGUAACAGCUAGUAAGUUUCACUUCCAAGGAUAAGGUGAACUACUGGAAAAUAUCUUAUUGCUUUUAAAUUUUGCCUUUGCUUUCCAUGAUUUAUGUCAUAUUAUAAAAGAAAGAAAGAAAAAAGAACUUCUGAUGGAUGAGUCUGUUUUUUCCCCUGUUGCUGAAUUUAAGAAUUUGAAGUAGUUCAUGGUCUCCUUUAUAAAUAUAAAUAGUUCAUGAGGUCUCCUCUCAUGCCUUUUAAUUGUCAAACCCAAGAAAAUCUAAUAAUAGAUCUUUGAGCUUUAAAGAAAAUUAUGGAAAGGGAAUAUGGGCACUAAGUAGUGCUACCUUAUGCUUGGCGUGCCGGGAGACCUAUGCUCAGACUUUGGUUCUGAACAGAGUUUAUUUGCUGCUCCUCAAGUUCUCUAUGAUUGAUGGCAAUGUAUUAGCUCACAAUCCUGCCAGGUAUGGGAAUUACAUUUAUAGCCUCAAGAAAAUAAGUGACUUAUUGAAAAUUAUGGAGCUAGUUCAUAGCAGAGCACGUGUUAUAAGAGGUCUCCAGAAUCCUAGGUGGGUGUUUUCCCACUAUACUGUGGUAGCCUUUCAGUACAAUUUAGAAUUUUACUUGUGAAUGGUUAGCUAUCUUAAUUUUUAGAUAAGUCAUCUUAUAAAAUUAUACUUUAAAUGGUUCACAGAAUUAAAAAGAUAUUCAUAGGUAUCUUUUACAUUAAAAUAUUCUUAUAGAUGAGUAGAAAAUACAAAUGAUUUCAAGUUUUACCUGGAUGAGAAAUUUGUAUAUCCAGACAUUAGAGUAUAUGAAGUUACCAAGGAGGGAAUUUAAGAUAAGAGCUAACGGUGACCAAGAAAAAAGAAAGAAGACUCAAAUUACUGAAAUCAGAAAUGGAAGUGGAGACAUCACUGACUAUCUUACAAAUGAGCUACUGUAUGACAGUAAUGUAUGUAGCUUGGGUGAAACGGAAACAGUCCUAGAAAGAUACAAAUUAGUGAAAUUGACUCAAGAAUAAAUAGAAAAUUCUAGUAGAUUUCUAACAAGAGACUAAAUUGUAAUAAUAAUUUUAAAACUUCCCACAAAGAAAAUCCAGGACAAGAUGGCUUCAUUGGUAACUCCUACCAAACAAGAAGAAUUAAUACCACUUCUUCACAAAAUCUUCCAAGAAAUUAGAGGGAACACAUCACAACUCCUUCAGUGAGUUUCCUGAAGAUUUUUGCUGAAGGAUGUCUUGCGAUCAUAAUAAGAACCACAAGGGCCGGUGCAACCACAACAUUGAUUAUUGAUAGGCUGAGAUCAACACAAUAAAUUGGUGUUGUGAUUGCACUUGGAAUUAACCAAGGGUGAUGCUCUUUACCUGCAACUUGCUUAACAACCAUCUGACUCAGGUGAGUAACACCAUCUGGGGAAGGACCACUGCUUGGCGGGGGUUGCAAGCUGCUACGUGCUUCUGCUUAUUAUCGCCUCUGUCGUGUGUUCCCUGUGGUGUUGAUCCAAAGACCACGGCUGCCAUAACAAUCCAACACUCUCCCAAGAGCAGUGUGAUCAAGGCCAUCUGUCUAAUGACUAACUGUAACGGCCUUAAUUGACUAUUAAUGUGGGGAGGGUUCUCCAUGCCUUGAGGCCAAAGAGAACUAAAGAGGUGGAUUGGAUGGCAAGGCUAUUGUCAUGGUCCAAGGAGAGGCUCUGGGCUAAAGGACGUGAGGACAGGAUUCCGUAGGUGAGCAGGACGAGAGACCUCUGCCUUCAACCUCUGACUCAGUGAGUUGCGCCCGGACUACGUGUCCUAACCCAGAAGAGUGAAGUAACCUUGCACCCAGAAACCAGUGGCACCACCCCUGACCCAGUGGGAUAUUAUGGAUCCAGUCCCUGGUGUGAUGUUGCUAAAAAAUAAUGGACAAAUAUAACGUCUGGAACACCUGGUGCCAGCACUUCCUAUGAACCCUGAGGAGGUGCAUCAGCUCCUUGACAAAUGCAAAACACCAUGGAAGGCUCCUGGGUGUUGCUCUGUGCAGGCCUGGCGGCCUUUCCCAAAGACUCUCUGCAUUGCCCAAUGGAGGCAGACCCCAAUCCCGGAGAGGUGUCUUGGGACACCCUGGAGAGGAAAGAGGCUGCCUAUGAAGGGGGCUCACAGUGACAUCAUCCCGAAUGUUUCAGUGGCAACACAGAAGAUUCAGGACACAAUUGGAAACAUUAUUUAAUUCCCCAGACUUUGACUGGAAGGUAUUAUUUGAGAAUGUGCAUAGACUCAGAUAUGACCAGACAGUUUGGAAAACCAACCUAUAGCCUGCUAACAGGGUUCCUGGCAGGCUUAUCAGGUGAGUAAAGGAGGUCACUUCCUGGCAGGUGCAGGAACCUCAGGGUAUCUUGGGGACCUUGAGAAGAGAGGAAUUAACUCAAAUCUAUAGGUGCUGCAGGCAAAGCCUAAUGGCAAGUCCUCGGCUUGGCUUCCUAGCCUCCUGAGGCUUUUAAAAGCUCAAUCUGAGAUUCUUUAUGAAAAGUUCCUGCAAAGCAGACUUAAAAAGAGCCAAUACGGUCAGUUGGAAUUCUUGCUGCACUUAUGUAAAUAAUCAGGCCAGUUUAUUGGAACUAGACUUAAUUUGUAAAUAAAUUAGUCUUACUAUGUUGUCUUUGAUAGCAAGGGGAUGAUUGUAGACAGAAAACCAUGUUUCAGUAGAAACUAUAAUAUACAGUUGGGGAUAUUAGAUUCCAGUUCUGUUAAUUGUAUUUGAGGUUUUGUUUCUGACCUGUAAAGCAGACCAGAUCCUAAAUUCUCCCUGUUUCCUCUGAUCUCAGCCCUCAGCUCUCCAAAGUAAUGUUUCCAAUUUUUCUCCCACCCUCUGACUUGGAAUCAUUGAGAACUAAAACUGCCUUUUUCCUGAAGCCAUGCAAGCUAAAGUUGGACAAUUUGAUAUAAGCUUAGAGAAAUCACAGCAGUUCAUGUUGCCACAGCAGCUUCAUGCUUGUUGCUGUGUGGUCACUCAGAAAGACCACCAGAGACAUUCAAGCUGCAAGUAGGGAAAAGAUGUCAGGUUGCCACUGCCUGCCCUCACUCCAUCUGGAGAUGCUUCGAACCCCACAUCUAGAAACCUUACCUGGCUGCUUUCAGAACUCAGAAACUGGGAUUAUAGUCUGCUCCAAUCACUAACCAUUGGUUUUCCUUUGUUUCCAUAGAAACACCUUUUAUUAAAAACCUGAUGCAAGUAUGUGCGCCAUGUAGGCCUAACUUGGGGAACCCACCUGCAUCGCCACUUCCUGAAAUGAGACACAGCCUCUACUUGAACUGACCUACUGUCUGGACUAAGAGAGGGUUCAAUGAGAUAAAGACAACCCAGCAACUCAGGACAGGUUCAAACCUUCUUACACCAGGUGGCCAAGACAAUAAAGUAGUUCACAAUGGCACCCAAAUCUUUGACCAGAUUCCUCGGGCCCCCAAGGUCACUGACUUAGUUUUAUUGCAGGACACUUCAAAUUUGGGACAGUGGAUACAGACGAGAUUUCAGACUGCUGUCUGUGUAUUUAUUAUAGGAUUUGGGACUAGAAUCCUAUUUAGAUAUGUGCUUUCUGAGUUACAAUGCACCCUACCCCUGACUUAGCACAUCAGCUACGGAGGCAGUUACAUUCUCACCACCCUCACCUUUGACUCUGAUGGCUUGGCAUCACAGGCUGGGUGGUAGGGUGAGCCCUAACAGGUGGGGUUUUUCCUUUUUGUAAUGCAAAUGCAUAACUUAAGCUUUGAUUGCCCAGGCCCCCACUUCAGAUAGGGCAUCAGCUUCAAGGAAGGCUACCUGGGAAAAGCACAUUGCUAUUAGCCACGCCAGAUACAGAGCCAGGCCACCUUCCCCACUGAGGUGGCUUUGUUUGGAAGAUCUUAUUUAAUUGCAGCGACUGACCAUUGGGGCACUUGUUUUAUUUUCUCUUUCUGCACUUUAAAUUCCUGCUUUCAUGUUUUAAAUUCACCAGUAAAGAGUGAGCCUAGGAAAACCCCAGGCCCCCACGCCAAGCCCCAGUAAAAGUAGGACCCCAGGCCUGUGCUCACAGUAUCCUUCUCUCCCUCCCUCCCUCCCUCCCUCCCUCCCUCCCUCUCUCUCUCCACCUCUCUGUCUCUCUAUCCCCCUGACCUCGCAGUGUGGCACCAGGUGUGCUGUGUAAUUUCCAGGUCCUGUAAGUAAUAAACCUCUAGUUUUUCAAGUUUCCCAAUAGUUAGUGCUGAGGGGUGUCUUGCCAUCAUAAUGAGAACCACAAGGGCCGGUUCAGCCACAGUGUUGGUUAUUGACAGGCUGGGGCCAGCACACAACAGCUAUUAAGAUUCCUUUUUGGUAUUUGAAUGAUCAAAUGACUAAUGUUAUGUGGCAUAUGUCAUGGGUUUGCACAACGUUUGGCACAAAGCAAGAAUGUGAUUGUGGUCCACCCAAGCCUCGCUGCAGAGGGGUGGUCUAAACAAAUUCUGGAAUAAACAGUUUCUGCUCUUUUUGACAUUCUGUUUAAGGGCAUUCUUUUCAGAUGUGGGAGUGCAUUCUGUUUCGUUAGCAGAACUGACUUUGUAUUUCAGACUUCGGGAGGAAGGUGCCUGGGUGUUUUCAUAGUAAAGGUUACUAUUAUUAGUUUUGCAAAUGGUUGACUGAUAAACAGAGAAAAGGAUGAAAUUUGUGGGAUAUGCUAGCACCUACAGAUGCAUCCGUCUGGAAGGAAGGGUUGAAGUGGGGUGCGGACAACUCAACAUUUGAAAAGAUAGCUUUUUCACAUGUCUAGCAGGAAUCUUCGUGCUGAUACUAUUAGACUGAACCAUAUUAAAUUACCAAUAUUUGACUGUCUUUACCCUACAAAAUGGCAGCUCCAUACGGCUCAACCAAAUAUGUUUUUCAAAAGAGGGAGCAGUAAUAUACAGAUCCAGACCCAUAUACAAAGCCUGCCUUUCUGCCACCCUUUCUUUCCUCUCUGACUUCUUUCUUUCCACUUUCUGAUAAAAACUUUAUUCAGUGCCAGCUUUGUUUCAGGCUUUAGUUUUAGGAAUAAUUUAUUUGAUUGGUUUCUUCUGUAUGUUCCCAACUUAACUUUAAUUUUACUUCUAUUGACAACUUCAUGGUACUCUGACACACUGCCGGCACAAGAGCUGGCUCAUGAAGGUACAGGGUAUCGGGAGAGCCAAUGAAGAUUCUGGUUUUGGUCUGGGACACGUCUCCAGUGAUGGCGCUCCUGCUUUGCCAUUUAGGUUUUGAGUCACUUGCGGUGUGAGACCUCAAGUUACGAAAGUAUGUAUGUCACAUUUACUGACCACACUCCGUUAAAUCUGCCCUUUCCUCUGCAGUCCUUUAUUUGAGUUUUUCAACAGAGGACUAAAAAAAAUGAAUGGAAGCAAUUUAAUUCCUAUGUUUCCCUGGCAAAGAUAAGAACAUAAAGAUUCCAGGAGAAGAACUGAAUGGUAACAAAGCUAAUAUCAAUAUUGAAGAGAAAUGUACAGUUUGACUCGGAACAAGUGUGCUUGUCUGUAAUUUUGAAAUUAAUGGCAAGAAAAGUGAGGUUGCGUGGAAAAGAUGGGCACUUACGUGAAUGCUUCAAGGAAGAGUGGGGACAGAUGAGGAGGAGCAGUGGGGCAGUUGGUGAUGGAGCAGAGACGUGUAUCCAGGCGCAGGUGUUGGGCACUCAGAUGUGACCCUGAGGCAGCUCGCCCGAGGAGGGGAGACCAUCCUACCCCUCCUCUGCCUCCUCUUUUUUUUGCCAGCGUGUGAAGUUGCGUCAAUAGCAGAUUUAUAUUCUCCAUACAAAUACUUUCAACCCCCGAGUCUUAGAAAACGGGGCAUCCUAACUCUCCACAUGCAGGGUCCAGGGCACGUGGACACAACCUCCUGGCAUUUCUGUCCUGGCAGCAUGGCUCCACUCGCCAGCGUCUGGAGGCAGGUGUUUCAUUGCAUCGCUGUCGCUAGAUUACCACUCUCAUCAUCAGAGUGGCCAGCUCUUCUCUACUUCUGCUAACGUUUUAAGGAAGUACGUUGGUCAGGGGCGCCCACGCUGACCAGCCACAUGGCCUGGGUGCCUUCAGGCUGUGGGCCACUGUGGGCAAGCCUGGGAUGUGAACUCGGGCUGCGACCCUGGGGCCGUUAAUGGCUGUCACGUGUCAUUGGAAUCGCAGUAGCAGCUGUUUAUAGAGAGAUGCUCCCAGUUGAAUCACUAUGUACUAAAUUUGUAGUUACCCAUCUGGAUAACAGAACAAGCUAUUGGCAGGAAGAAGAGGAAAAUUACACAAACUUAACAGGGCAAAGUACGCAUGCCGCAUAUACUUUUCGCUCUGAAAUGCAAGAUUCAGUAAAGACGAUUUCCACGUUUGGAGCUUGGCCUCCGGUGGGUUUAGCAUCCCCCUCCUCUGAUGUGGUUCUUGUUGGUAGCACUCUGCUCCCCAGUCUCGGACUUUUCAGUGUUUCUCUCUGGGUGGCUCCGUCAAGUUCCCAUCAUGCUGUAGCAUCUUCCUGGAAAUGUCUCCUUUUUGACCAAGACUCAAGCUGCUGCUGCCCUUUGUCUGCUCUCCUGCUGCAGCCUUUCCUUUAUAUAAUGAUCUUCCGACGUCCAACAGUCUCCUAUUAUCCAGAAAGGACCCUGCUUUUGUAAUUUACAAAUAUUUACUAGCCACCAAGAAAACGCCAAACUUUCCACUGAAGAACUGAAACUUUGCCUUUGGACCUGGAGAGCCACACACAUGAUGGUAUGACAGAAGUACCCGGGCACGUCAAAUCACAUUCCAUCCUCAAUGAAUAAGCCCUGGGUGACUGAAAUACAUCACAGAUGGAUGAGAAAAUAUGAAAACAAAAAUACCUUCCUAAGUGAAACCAUACUGAUUUACCUUCUGUGAAAUAAAUAAAGUAGGAUGUUUCUUUCAAAGAUAUGGAAUGAAUCCAUGCAGUUUGCUAUAGUUGUUUUAAAGUAAACUAUAUUUUAAAAAUUUUGCGGGGGGGAUAACUAAGUUGACCAUUUUUCUUUCUGAAUGGAUAACAAAUAUUUUGCUCUUCAAAAGAGGAAAAUUAAUUAGGAAAAUCAAUAAGCAAGCCAUAGAACGGGAGAGAAUAUUUACAGUACAUAUAUCAGACCAAAAGCUUGUGUCUCAAUAAUAUAAAGAACUACUAUAAUUUAUCAUAAAAGACAAACAACCAAAAAUGGGCAGAAUAGUUGAAUAGGCACCUCACAAAAGAAGAUACGUGAAUGGCAAUAUGAAAGGGAAAAUUGCUCAGUAUCAUUAAUCAUUAGGGAAAUGCAAAUUAAAACCACAAUGAGAUACUUCUAAACACAUCAGAAUGUCAAUAACUUAAAAAGAUUGACAAUACAGCGUUGUCAAGGAUUUGAUCAUAACUCUCAAAUACGGCCAAUAGAGUGUAAAAUGGAAUAGUCUGGGAAAAUGUUUGGCACUUUUUCAAAAAGUUAAACAUGCAUCUUCCCUGUGUCCCAGAAAUUCCACUCGCAGAUAUUCAUCUAAGAGAGAGAACAUACAGGUCCACAAAACACCUCAUGUGAGCAUGGUCAUCGAAGCUUUGUUCGUAGUAUCAAGAACAAGAACAAGCCCCGAGGUCCGUCACCAGGAAAGCGGAGGCGCUGUGGUGUGUGUAUACGGGGGAUACUUCUCACCGAUACAGGCGUGCGCUUCUGACACGCGUAGCAGCGUUAAAGGAUCUCACCUAUUAUGCUGAGCAAAAGAAGCCGGACGGAAGAGAGCACACGGCCUGCGACAGACAUUACAGGACGCUCCAGAAGAAUUCAAACAAGCCCUGACAGGAGAACUCAGACGGCAUCAGGGGCCUGUCUGGGUAGGGACAGACGCGCCUUCUGGGGUCGUGGACACCUUCUGUCACCCGUGUGGCUUCCUUGAGUGAAUGCAUUUGGAAAAGAGAAUGUGCUUCUAUAUGUAAUGACGUCUCAAUCAAAUGUUUCCUAAAGGAAAAACAGACACAGAUGUGUGUGCGUAUUUCCAGUAAUGGUUGGGGAAUGUGACCAAACAACAAUUUUAGUGGUGACACUGGGUCUGACUUCUGCAAGUUCAUCCAUUUGCUUAUUUAUCAGCUCGCAUCCUGCACCCGCUGUGCUCCAGACCCCGUUCCGGGACUUGGGAGACCACGGUGCAGUGGGGACGUACAGUUCUGGAGCUGGCAGCCAGCCUGAGGACGGGCUUCCUGAAGGGGGCUGGGCUCCCCGCCUCCAUCUCAGUGGGAGACUUUGAUGGCAUCCGGGCUGCUCACCUCAGACAGCUGGGCUCAUUCCUCCAGAGCAACGACCAUGACUCUGUCCUAGGGGUCUUCAUGAUGAUGUUUUAACUACCCUGCAGCCUACCAUUCAAAAACCAGAGCUCUAAUUCCAUCAGGUGUAAGUGCAAAAAAUAGAUUUCGAUGAGUGAGCAUUCCGGAAAAGAGGUAAGAGAAGUAAAUGUAAUAAGUAAAAAUUAUGCAAAGGGGAAAUUCAAAAUGUUGAGUAAUUUUCUACCCCAAAUAUUCCGACACCAUUUUAAGCUUCUUAACUCUGGGGCUAGUGCUGCCUUCCUCUCUCUGUUGCUCAAAUAUCACUGCAGUUGGCUGUGUGCACACGGGCCUUCCUGCUACAUCUCCUGUCCUUUAGUUUAGUUUGUUUACAGAAUUGUUCUGGACGGACACGUGGGUGCACCUCUUUCUUCUCCACCCCAGGAACGCCUUUCUAGGUUGGAAGGCCCACACUUCUGUUCAUGUUUUCUGACCCCUUGCUCUCUUGUCUUUACAUGAAAACUUGCUUGCGUCCCUGUCCUGUCCUUUCUAACGUCUUCAGUCCUUGAAGCUAAAGGGCCGACCGAAUAACAUUCAGGCAAGAGUCAGUGGGGCUGGGUCCCAGGAGCACAGCGCUCACACAGGCCCUUCAGAACCACAGGCCUGCAUGGCGUUGCUGGCACAGGGGUCAGCAUGGCCCGAAGGCCUUUUGUUUCCACGUUGCCUAAAUGUUCAUCUUCUCCCCACGUGUGAUGGUGUGUCUGCUGUGCUGUACCAGAGAAAAUCACCACUUCAUGCAUGUUUUUCUUUUGCCUCAACAGAUUCAAAUGUUAUGAGGUUUGUCAGGAAUUCCCUUGAGUUUGUACCAAAUCUUUGUAUCUCUUUUCCUUCAUAUUAGACAAACAUGUUUGACAUAAACUAUUUCAAGGACUGCAAAUAGAGGAGAGCUCUGAAUGGAUGGCUUUUACUUUAUGGAGAGUUAAUAAAUCUCAGAAAAUAAUAAUCUGGGCAGGAUGCAAUGAAGCUGAAUAGUUAAUCUGCAUAGAAUCAAGUAUGUGAUAUGGAGCCCACGUUCCACGUGGCAGAGUCCCAGUUCCAGACAAUCACCGCACAGACUGCCAAGAAACCAGGACUUGGGGAAACUAUGUCAGCCUUUGAAACGAUAUGAGCUGUAGGUGGAUUAUUGACUAAUCAUAGAACAGGUGGCUCAUUUAAAAAUUCUUAUUAUUUCAAGCGAGUGAUAAUUUUUGUAUUGGUUGUGAAUCUUAAGGGCAUAGAAAGGUGGAAGAAAUAUUGGAAAGGGAGUUAGUGCUGGCACAAGAGUUUGCUGUGAUAACACUGCAGAACGAUCCGCAUACCUGCUGGCUCCGUGCUCCUGGGCAGUUGAGAGUCAGGCGGAGGUCCCUUCACCUGGGGCGCACAGCCACCUGGAAUGGCUCUUCCUGGGUCAGAGGGCAAAAGUGCAAGGUGUCCAGCAAACUCUGCCCUUUGUGGCCUUGGCCAGCAUCACGUCUCUCCAUAUUCCAAGGUAUAUCACAGGACCAUGGCCAAUUCACCUCUCCCUGUGGAGGCUCAGUGGAACUCCAGGACUGGGGGCUGGGGGCACAGUUCUCCAGGGCACAGGAGAGCUGUCUGAGGCCUACGCUCAGCUGGGUGUGAAGGCGUGUGGCUUAGAUGAGACAAUAUUUGUGCACAAACCGCUUUUCUUUGUGAUCCUCACGUGUGUCCGUGUGACAGUAAGGAGCCACAGCAGCAGUGCAGCCACAGCACAGCGACCCUGUUCCCUUCCCAGAUGGCAGUGAUACGGAAAAGGAGAAGUACUUGUCCAACUACUGCUACUAAUAUUAGAGGAAGGAAUGAUUCCGUUGAUUGCCUGAUGACCCUCUGCUCGGUUAUGGAUCCCCAGCUGUCCUUGCUGUACCUGGAGUUGGGCUCAGUUCCAUACUGAGGUUUCUCUCCCCUACUGCAGUAGCUCAGAUAAAAUCUGUCUUGUCAUUUCAACAAAUGUGCAGCACAUUUUAUAUAUAUAUAUAUGGCAUCAAACUGAUGUGUUCAAAGAUCACGUAUGUCCUGGUGGUGUAGAAAUCGAUUCUUUUCUUCAUUUCCUUAAUGCCUGCUGGAUAUUCCCAUCUGUCAACCCCACACGCAAUUCAAACUGACAUCCUAAUCUGGACUCAUUAUCUGUCAUCCCCAGCCAGCCUCUCUCUGGGUUCCAUUCUGUCAGUAGCCCCAUCACCCAUCCAUUCACCAAGCUAGAGACCUCAGAGCCCCCUUGGGCACCUCUGUGCUGGGCCCCACCUCCACCCCGAACACUUCUCAGUAAACAAAAUUAUUUUAAGAGAUUAGUUACAAGAUUAUCAAAAUGAAUUUAAGAAGCUAGAAACGAGCUCAUCCAUUGAGUGGCCACAGCAAAACACCUCCCACAAUUGCAGAAGUUACCAUGUUUGGGUCCAGCAAGGCAAAGGGAAUAGAAGAGAUGCCUCUUUUGUGCUAUUGAGAGGCAUAUAUCUGCUGACAGAGACAAGACCAAUCCAGAAGAUUGUUAAGUCAAAAAGCCCUUAUUGCAGAAGGAUGAUUCUGUGUAUAGACAUUAGUAAUUGUUAAAAACCCCUGUAGAAUCCCUGAAGAGAAAUUCGUGGAAGAAAAUAAUUUGUCCUGAAGGCGGUACCAUAACAAGCAUCUGGAUGAAUAUCAAAAGCAGUGUUUGAAACAAAUGAGGUCGAUGGAAACCCCACCUGCGUCUGUCUGUCUACCAUUCCUGUGGGUGCAGUAAGAGGAGAUGGAAGGCUCUGAACCAAGAGUUCACUCUGGAAACCCAAGGUUCAAGGAGUGCACAGUUUUAAUCACAUAAAGAGAGAAGCUCUUUAUGUUAAAAAUAUUCCUGUAGCUCUAAUUUCCACGCUACAAGUGUUAUCUAAAUGAUGAAUUAGUAAAAUCCAAGCCAUUGCUGUCCAUCCAGUUUUAUCUUUAUGAGAGGAAAUGUAAUCUGAAGACCACUCUGGAAUUUCUAAGCUGACUGCCUGCUUAAGGAAGGUUAACCAAAUGUUUUUAAGAAAAAGAACGAAUUAGGAAAAAUAAAAACCAUGACAUUUUGUGAGAGAUUCUUACUUUGAAGAUUUGUUUAUGAUAGUAGUGUCUUACAAAAAUUGUUCACUUAAUUGACGUAUGUGAGGUCCAAAGUAUAAACAAUUGAAAUAUAUUAACAUGUAGUGAAAAAGUCCACAAAUGUAAAGCAAAAGUCCAGCUUUGGAAAAGUAAUGUUAAAGAUGGCUUUGCAGUCAUGUGUGGUUGGUGUUAUAAUUUGAAGCCAAAAGAACAAAAUUAGUAGAGAAACAUCUGUAUAUUCUUGUGGAAGAGUUUCUUUAUUUUGAAAUAGUUGAAUUUAAAAGUUCUGCUGAAUUAGAAAUCCUUUUGCAUCAUCAAAACAAAUCUCAACUACGUCAGUCAGUGAGAGAAAAGCAAGUUAGAUUCAUAAAUGAUCACACAUUUUAAGUCUAUUUUAAUGAGAUCAAUUUUUCCAAUUUUGUUUAAUGGCAAGACAGGACAUUCAGUCAAUUAGAGGACGAAGUGAUAACUUGUCUGCUCAUGAGUACAAAGACUUGUUUUUUAAGCAAUGGCGAUUAUCAGAAUGAUUCGGUAAAAAUUCUGAGUCAGAUUCCUGUAGCCAAUUUGUUUACAAAGCCUGAUAUAAAAGAGUGAUAUUUGCAAGCACAUGCUAAAGUUUUCAUUAAAAGUUUGAAAAUAUUGUUGUUGGAAGUGUUCCAGCUCAGCAUUUAAGAAUCUCUCUAAUGUUUGAUGUUUAACUUUUCCCUCAAGGUCAUAUAAUAUAAAGAAAGGAGGAGUGAGUUUUCGCUUGCCUCGCCCACGUAGAUAGAUGCUCCUGCGUCCCCCGGUUCACCCCGAGCGCCAGCCAGCCAGGCGUUUCUGUGUUGUGGCCGUGUGGAAACUUGGGAGGCCCAGGGCACUCGCAACAGCAGACCUGCCUUGUGGCCUCCCUGCCGCCUUCGCAGCACAUCCGCCCCUCCUGGCCGGGAUCGCAACCACCAUCCUUGAACAGUCGCCCCUGUUCCCAUAGCGCUCCCCGCACAUGAGAGUCCCCAGCUUCAGAGCUCAGCCCAAGUGUACGCUCCGCUUGCCCUCCCCGUCCUGGGACCCCAGCCGCCCCUCUCAGCUCUGUCCUCCCGCAGCCCACGAACUCCUUGAAGCAAAGGCUGGAUGUCAGGACUCUGCAUCUCCAGCUCCUACGCAGGGCGGAUGCCUACAGUUCGGUUCUGUUUGCUGAGCAGAGUGGGCCGGAGCCCGGCGCUCCACACAGCCCCACCACGCAUGUGGGACAGGCCAGCUCUCUGGUCUUCAGUCUCCAUGUUUUUUCUCUAAGUGACAGAGCCUGUUUUUAAAUAAAGCACACCUCACUGGGAGGCCCCAUAUAUGAAAACAGAUUUGGGGGGCAGUUCAGGUAGCAGAGGGAGUGGGGACCCCAACACUGCCACAUUCUCCCUCCCACCUGACCCAACAUGCGAGGACUCAGGGGCUCAUGAGUCCAGGGAAAUUAAGCUUCCCAUUUGCCCAGCCCAGGUCAGGGGUUCAGCUGUCACGCCUACCGCUGGACUGCGCAGGGCCCGGGGGCCGUGAGCGUCCACAGCCCCACCUCCGGCUGCAGCCGGGAGGCUCCGGGCCAGAGCUCCGCUGGGUGGGGAGGACGGCGCAGCAAGGCGGGUGCUGGGCUGGCGUGGGAGCCGUGCUCUGCACCACCCGCCUCACCCCUGCAGUUUCAGCUGGGGCGGAGGGAAAGUUCCACGGCGACGACUAAUCUCGUCUUUAAAUUUCCAUCUGUAGUAACGACAACAGUGCCUAACCCUAUAUAGUGCUGCUGGGUGACAGGCACCAUCUAAGACAUGCCUCUGUCCACAUAUUACCUCAGCCAGGCCUCCCGCCUAUUCUCGACCCCACGUUAUAGCCACGGACACUGAGCCCAAGGCAGGUGCUCGUGGCCUGAGAGCUGGAAGUGGAGCCAGGGCAGCCCGGACCUAGGGUGCAGGCUUGUAGUCACGACGCAGAGUGGAGAGCCCAGAAAGGUCUCCAAUGAGCAUUGAUGAGGGAUUUCACGGCAGCAGAAGGGAGCCGUGGGCUCACUACAGUCACGUUUGAGGUUUUCCAUUCACUCAGGGUUGAGGCAAAACCAGAAACAUUCGAACACUUGAGCAGCAGGCCCCAAAGCUGUGGUCUGCAUGUGACCCCUGCUCUUCUGACGGUGAUGCGGUGUUUUUAAUCAGCCCAGCUCCAGCCUAUCAUGGUAGGCUUGCGUUGUCUGCAUUUGAAGGUGCUGAUGAUUACAAGCCCAUGCCUCCCUGUGCGCCCAGCCCUCUCCUAGGCCCUGACUUAACCCUUGCCUGAGCCUAUGGGGGGAGCAGAGAGCUAGGGGAGCCCUGGGGGCGGGUAACAGCCUCUGCUGCAUGCAGGGGGCCUCUGGCCCUUGUUGGUCACCGACUCUCCCAGAGGAGAGGGGAGCAGAAGACAAGGUGAGGCAGGAUGGGCCUGCGCUGCUGGCUGGUGCCCCAAUCCAAGACCAAGAGCAGCGCUGGAGUCUCACCCGGAAAGCGUCCGCCCUCCAUGGCCGUCCGCAGCCAUGCAGGUCCUUUUCCUAGAUUUCACCUCCCACGAGGUCUGGUUGCCUCAAAGAUUCAAAGUCUAAACCACCACAGACCAAGGGCCUGCCCUCCCCCAAGGACAAGCUGCUCCACUGGGAGGGCGCUGACCUCGGACCCGGGAUUCCGAGAAGCGGCUGGAACACGGGCAGCCCUGCAGGCUCGGGCAGCAUCACUGCACCGGGCGGCCAACGUGAUGCCCAGAAACGCUUCUCCAGUUUCGCAGGAAGCCCAGUCACAUCUGGGGGCCCCUGAUGCCGUCCACCGACACCUGUGCUGCGAAUGCCCUGAGCCACAAACAUGGGCUCCUGGAGGACAGCAGGUUAUGAAAUCUCACUGCAGAGCGUUCGUCCAGAGGAACCCAUCCUUAAAUGACCUGUGAACUGGGCAGUGACGGGUGGGUGGAGAACACGUAACAGACACGUGUAGACACGGUUUUCUAUUCCAGUGAUGAUGGCAGUUACCUGAGUCUAAGUUAUUAGCCUCUGGAGAGCAUAUUGUGAGGACACAGAAAGGCGUCCUGUGAAACCUAUGGCUACAGACCUGACACCGUUGAGGGGUGGCAAAGGCUCAGGUGAAAUAUUGUGUCUCUGUUUUGUUUUAGCAGAAACGUCCCAACCACGUGUGGAAAACACAUACAUGGAAGGCCUACCUGGUGGUUUGUGUGCAGCCGACCCCUUCAAAGACAUUCUGCUUCCGAGCUGGUGUUUGAAUGUGCAUUUCAGGGGGCCACCUAGGAUGUGACAACAACAGCCUCUCCCUGACCCAGAAACACCACCCCAGCUGAUCAUGGAGCCCACAGUUCUGCCAAUUCUGCAGAGAUCCUGCUGGCGUGGCCUCCAAGGGUGUCCUGGGCUCGGCUGCGCUUGGCUCCUCCACUGCCGUGAGCCAUCCGAACGCCGACACUCUGGCUGGGACGUCACGUUACUUAGCCUCCUCUGAGCCCCACAGCAGACGGGCUGACGCUCACCGUCUCUCCUGUCCUCCUGGGCACACACUCCUCUCUGAGCCCAAGCUCUCCUGUAGGUGGGAGUGGCCCACAGCUGCGUUUGGGCUGGAAUGGGGUGGGGUGACUGCACUCCUAGGCUGAAUUCUACAGCUCCAGGGGCACAGCUCCUGUCCUGCCCUUCUGCAGCUCAGGUCAGGGGACCCAGGUGACACAAGGGACCUUGGUCCUGGAACAUGGCUUGGAGGAACGCCACUAGUCUGGAAAACUGGUUUUGACCCACAAGUACACAGUUGGCCCUAUGCUGUCGCUCACCUCCUGUACCAGCUCAAAUAGUUUGCCAAAGCAUUUCUGGAAGCUUGUCUCCUUCUCUCUCAGAUCAGCAGAGCAGACUUCCUCCAGCCUCCCUGUCUCCCUGCACCCCACAGCCAGGCACAAGCCCACUUCGCUACCUAUGGGAGGACUGAGCAGAACAGUGACACUAUGAAUGUCUUCAGUACAUGCGUUCAUUCCCCCCAGGGCUUCAUCUGACGCUGGCUCAUGCUACGGACUGGGAAGGACUGAGCAUCAGCAUACAGCUCGGAUUUCCUGACGUGCGUCCACGGCACAAAAGCCAUAGGAGGUGCUUUGGGAAAGAGAUCCUGUAAUCAUAUGUGUGUGGGAAAUGCUGCCCAUUUCUUUCUUAGAGCUUCAAGACCGUGGUGGUGAUGCACAGGAAGUGUCCAGAACUGUUACGGUUCCACAAUCUAGACGUUUCUCUAAACCUUCUGAAACGGAUGCACUUCCUUUUCUUGGCUUGUUGUGUUUGGUUCUUCACUUCUGAGGCCAUGCAAGGGAAAGUGCAAAAGACAUCAGAGGAGAGAGAACACAGAGCAAGAGAGAGGCCUGCUGGUCCUGCAAUCCCCUAGAGAAAAUCUAUGCUGGAAAGGGGUGGAGCUUCUACUCUAAAUAUUUAGUAAAAAAAAUAAAAAAAUAAAAAUUGCUAUGCUUUCUGAGCCACUUUAUAUUUUUUCCCCUAAGACUUCACCGAGACCAUGAUUCAGCCUUCCAUUUUGUAUCUGCAGAGACUUAAAGCGGGGAUUAGACCUUAGGUAUUUCGGAAAACGUCUAAUAAGCUUCCGUCCAGCCGCGCUGGUCUCCGCUCCCUGGCCGGAGGCCCCGGGAGCACCAACCUGCGCCCCCCGUGGGCGCCGCCUCCCGCCCUCCACUCCCCCGCCAGACAUCCGGUGACUGCGGUUAGGGACACACGCUCCUCCAGCCGAGGGAGAGCCGCGCUUCUCCCGGUCACGGCGCAGCCACCUUCCUCGGAGCCAGGCCCCUUGCAGAUUCACCGCAGCGUGGAGGCUUGGGACGAGGGACCACUGUCCUGCCCCCCAAACUGCAGCCCCCGUCCUCUGUUCCAGGCCCAGGCCGCGGUCGGCAAGCUGGAACCUCUCUUUGCCUCCACUGGCAUCGGGCAAAUGCCUUCAAACCCGGAAGACAGUGGCUCGGCGCAGCUCCUUGUUUGAAGACUACAGCUUGGUGGCUUCUAAGGAAGAGUCCAGACUCUUGCAGGACCACAGCCAUGUACUGUCCCUGGCACCACGUAGACAGCCAGAGCGCCCAGGCCGGGUGACCGGGUCUCUGGUGCCCCGCCCACGCUGGAUGCCCACCUGGUCAGGCACACGGCGCACGGCCAUCCUCUCGCUGGGCCGGCGUCAUCGCGCCCCAGUGUCCGCGGAUGGCUUGCCUGGGCCACGCACAGCGCCGGGCAGAGGACACGGGCCAGACGCCGCCCAUACAGUGUCCACUGGUCACUGGGCAAAUCCUGCCGAGGGCCGCUCUGCCGGGUGGGCCAGACGGUCGUGAGAGCCGCCGGUGCCAACCAGGCAUCACAGAUGAGCCACGGCCGCCGGAGCAGCGCACACGGCCGCCGGAGC